CCAGAGCCAUGGCCUACAGAACAAGAGAGGAGCCUAGGUUAUCUCCAGAGCCAUGGCCUACAGAACAAGAGAGGAGCCUAGGUUAUCUCCAGAGCCAUGGCCUACAGAACAAGAGAGGAGCCUAGGUUAUCACCAGAGCCAUGGCCUACAGAACAAGAGAGGAGCCUAGGUUAUCACCAGAGCCACGGCCUACAGAACAAGAGAGGAGCCUAGGUUAUCUCCAGAGCCAUGG